UACAGAGGUGGCAAGCGUUGUUCGGAAUUACUGGGCGUAAAGGGCGCGUAGGCGGUCUUGUAAGUCCCGUGUGAAAGCCCCCGGCUCAACUGGGGAACGGCACGGGAAACUGCGAGGCUUGAGUUCGGGAGAGGGAAGCGGAAUUCCGGGUGUAGCGGUGAAAUGCGUAGAUAUCCGGAGGAACACCAGUGGCGAAGGCGGCUUCCUGGACCGAUACUGACGCUGAGGCGAGAAAGCUAGGGGAGCAAACGGG
rnacentral:rRNA from 1 species